UCGCCGACACAUUCCAGCCAAUCAGCAGCAGACCCUCCCUCCCAGACCCUCUCACCUCGUGGACAGCAUCCAUUUUACAUUCAUUGUGGAGCUGCAUUCUUAGUGAGCUGUCUAGGAGGUGGGAGGGUCUGGGAGGGAGGGUCUGCUUCUGAUUGGCUGGAAUGUGUCUGCUG